AUUGAACGCUGGCGGAAUGCUUUACACAUGCAAGUCGAACGGUAGAGGGGGCAACCCCUCGAGAGUGGCGCACGGGUGAGUAAUAUAUCGGAACGUGCCCAGUCGUGGGGGAUAACGUAGCGAAAGUUACGCUAAUACCGCAUACGAUCUAAGGAUGAAAGCGGGGGAUCGCAAGACCUCGCGCGAUUGGAGCGGCCGAUAUCAGAUUAGGUAGUUGGUGGGGUAAAGGCUCACCAAGCCAACGAUCUGUAGCUGGUCUGAGAGGACGACCAGCCACACUGGAACUGAGAGACGGUCCAGACUCCUACGGGAGGCAGCGGUGGGGAAUUUUGGACAAUGGACGCAAGUCUGAUCCAGCCAUUCCGCGUGCAGGAUGAAGGCCCUCGGGUUGUAAACUGCUUUUGUACGGAACGAAAAGGUCUCUCUUAAUACGGGGGACUCAUGACGGUACCGUAAGAAUAAGCACCGGCUAACUACGUGCCAGCCGCCGCGGUAA
rnacentral:rRNA from 1 species